AGCCAUGCCGCGUGUAUGAAGAAGGUCCUUCGGGUUGUAAAGUACUUUCAGCAGUGAGGAAGGUGGGUAUGUUAAUAGCAUAUUCAUUUGACGUUAGCUGCAGAAGAAGCACCGGCUAACUCCGUGCCAGCAGCCGCGGUAAUACGGAGGGUGCGAGCGUUAAUCGGAAUUACUGGGCGUAAAGCGCAUGCAGGUGGUUUGUUAAGUCAGAUGUGAAAGCCCGGGGCUCAACCUCGGAAUUGCAUUUGAAACUGGCAAACUAGAGUACUGUAGAGGGGGUAGAAUUUCAGGUGUAGCGGUGAAAUGCGUAGAGAUCUGAAGGAAUACCGGUGGCGAAGGCGGCCCCCUGGACAGAUACUGACACUCAGAUGCGAAAGCGUGGGGAGCAAACAGGAUUAGAUACCCUGGUAG
rnacentral:rRNA from 1 species